UUUAGACUUAAGAGCUAUUCAAAUAAGGCACAGCUUAUUUGAAAUAGGACACAACCUACAACAUAGGGUAAAUGAGAGUGACCUAAAUAAAGUGGGCCUAAAAGCAGCCACCUUCAGAAAAGCGUUAAAGCUUAACUACCUUCACUCAUAAUGCCUAAAAUCUCCACUAACCCUUCAUUACUACUGAACAAUUUUAUACUCAUAUAAAAGCUAUCAUGCUAGAACUAGUAACAAGAAACUGCUUUUCUCCUAAAUGUAAACAUAAACCAAAAUAGACCAUCUAUUGGUUAUUAACGUAAAUGCUAAACUGUAGCAACACUCACUAGAAAAUCCUAUAAACCCCAACGUUAACCUUACACCAGAACAUUACAGGAAAGAUUAAAAGAAAAAGAAGGAACUCGGCAAAUUUUAGCCUCGCCUGUUUACCAAAAACAUCGCCUCUUGACAAACAUAAGAGGUCCAGCCUGCCCAGUGACAAAGUUCAACGGCCGCGGUACCCUAACCGUGCAAAGGUAGCACAAUCACUUGUUCUUUAAAUGAGGACUCGUAUCAACGGCACUACGAGGGCUAUACUGUCUCCUUUUUCUAAUCAGUGAAACUGAUCUCCCCGUGAAGAAGCGGGGAUUGUAAUAUAAGACGAGAAGACCCCAUGGAGCUUUAAACUCACCAUGUACCCCUGUGCUCCCAUACCCCCAGACACAACAGACCUACAUGUUAGUUUUAGGUUGGGGUGACCACGGAGUAUAACUUAACCUCCAUAGCAAAUGGGCUAAUACCCUUAUCCACGAGACACAACUCUAAGAAUUACUAAACUAAUGCUUACGACCCGAUAUUCGAUCCAUGAACCAAGUUACCCUGGGGAUAACAGCGCAAUCUACUUCAAGAGCUCAUAUCGACAAGUAGGUUUACGACCUCGAUGUUGGAUCAGGGUAUCCCGGUGGUGCAGCCG
rnacentral:rRNA from 1 species